rnacentral:rRNA from 1 species
GGGUUGUGAGGUUAAGCGACUAAGCGUACACGGUGGAUGCCCUGGCAGUCAGAGGCGAUGAAGGGCGUGCUAAUCUGCGAUAAGCGCCGGUAAGGUGAUAUGAACCGUUAUAACCGGCGAUACCCGAAUGGGGAAACCCAGUGUGAUUCGUCACACUAUCAUUAACUGAAUCCAUAGGUUAAUGAGGCGAACCGGGGGAACUGAAACAUCUAAGUACCCCGAGGAAAAGAAAUCAACCGAGAUUCCCCCAGUAGCGGCGAGCGAAGGGGGAGGAGCCCAGAGCCUGAAUCAGCAUGUGUGUUAGUGGAAGCGUCUGGAAAGGCGCGCGAUACAGGGUGACAGCCCCGUACACAAAAGCGCAUGUGCUGUGAGCUCGAUGAGUAGGGCGGGACACGUGGUAUCCUGUCUGAAUAUGGGGGGACCAUCCUCCAAGGCUAAAUACUCCUGACUGACCGAUAGUGAACCAGUACCGUGAGGGAAAGGCGAAAAGAACCCCGGCGAGGGGAGUGAAAAAGAACCUGAAACCGUGUACGUACAAGCAGUGGGAGCCCCACCACCAAAGCAUUCUCUGGUGUUGAAGGCCCUGCAAAGCAGCAUCGCGGUGGCGGAGCGUCGUUUGCGACGCCCAACGCACAAAACAAGCGGUGAGUGCUUUGGGGUGGGGUGACUGCGUACCUUUUGUAUAAUGGGUCAGCGACUUAUAUUCUGUAGCAAGGUUAACCGCAUAGGGGAGCCGGAGGGAAACCGAGUCUUAAUUGGGCGUUAAGUUGCAGGGUAUAGACCCGAAACCCGGUGAUCUAGCCAUGGGCAGGUUGAAGGUUGGGUAACACUAACUGGAGGACCGAACCGACUAAUGUUGAAAAAUUAGCGGAUGACCUGUGGCUGGGGGUGAAAGGCCAAUCAAACCGGGAGAUAGCUGGUUCUCCCCGAAAGCUAUUUAGGUAGCGCCUCGUGAAUUCAUCUCCGGGGGUAGAGCACUGUUUCGGCUAGGGGGCCAUCCCGGCUUACCAACCCGAUGCAAACUGCGAAUACCGGAGAAUGUUAUCACGGGAGACACACGGCGGGUGCUAACGUCCGUCGUGAAGAGGGAAACAACCCAGACCGCCAGCUAAGGUCCCAAAGUCAUGGUUAAGUGGGAAACGAUGUGGGAAGGCCCAGACAGCCAGGAUGUUGGCUUAGAAGCAGCCAUCAUUUAAAGAAAGCGUAAUAGCUCACUGGUCGAGUCGGCCUGCGCGGAAGAUGUAACGGGGCUAAACCAUGCACCGAAGCUGCGGCAGCGAACGUAUCACUUAAAGCGAUUCAGCGGGUUACGAUUGACGGAGCGAAGCGACGUCAAAGCGUAUACAAAGUCGAGUCGGUUUAAGGAUACGUUCGUUGGGUAGGGGAGCGUUCUGUAAGCCUGUGAAGGUGUGUCGUGAGGCAUGCUGGAGGUAUCAGAAGUGCGAAUGCUGACAUAAGUAACGAUAAAGCGGGUGAAAAGCCCGCUCGCCGGAAGACCAAGGGUUCCUGUCCAACGUUAAUCGGGGCAGGGUGAGUCGACCCCUAAGGCGAGGCCGAAAGGCGUAGUCGAUGGGAAACGGGUUAAUAUUCCCGUACUUGGUGUUACUGCGAAGGGGGGACGGAGAAGGCUAUGUUGGCCGGGCGACGGUUGUCCCGGUUUAAGCGUGUAGGUGUGUGUUCCAGGUAAAUCCGGUUCACUUUAACACUGAGGCGUGAUGACGAGGCACUACGGUGCUGAAGCAACAAAUGCCCUGCUUCCAGGAAAAGCCUCUAAGCAUCAGGUAACAUCAAAUCGUACCCCAAACCGACACAGGUGGUCAGGUAGAGAAUACCAAGGCGCUUGAGAGAACUCGGGUGAAGGAACUAGGCAAAAUGGUGCCGUAACUUCGGGAGAAGGCACGCUGACACGUAGGUGAAGUGAUUUACUCAUGGAGCUGAAGUCAGUCGAAGAUACCAGCUGGCUGCAACUGUUUAUUAAAAACACAGCACUGUGCAAACACGAAAGUGGACGUAUACGGUGUGACGCCUGCCCGGUGCCGGAAGGUUAAUUGAUGGGGUCAGCGCAAGCGAAGCUCCUGAUCGAAGCCCCGGUAAACGGCGGCCGUAACUAUAACGGUCCUAAGGUAGCGAAAUUCCUUGUCGGGUAAGUUCCGACCUGCACGAAUGGCGUAAUGAUGGCCAGGCUGUCUCCACCCGAGACUCAGUGAAAUUGAACUCGCUGUGAAGAUGCAGUGUACCCGCGGCAAGACGGAAAGACCCCGUGAACCUUUACUAUAGCUUGACACUGAACAUUGAGCCUUGAUGUGUAGGAUAGGUGGGAGGCUUUGAAGUGUGGACGCCAGUCUGCAUGGAGCCGACCUUGAAAUACCACCCUUUAAUGUUUGAUGUUCUAACGUGGACCCGU